rnacentral:lncRNA from 1 species
CAGUGUGUGCCGCUGACCACCCCCAUGAUGCACUCCUUCUAGACAGCAAUGAAGGCAGAUUCCCUGUCCCCAGGGCCUGAUGACCCCAAUAGCAGCUAAAGCUGACCACCAGUCCAGCCCAGCAACUGACCUCUGCUGACCCCUCCUAAGAGAGCUGACAGGGUCAGCUCACAGCAGGGCUCUGGUGCCCUCCCUGCCUGGGUGAGUGAGCCUGGCUGGCCCUGCCCGGGCCUCGCCGCCCGCUCGUGGGCGAUUAGAUAUACAUCUUCGCCUCCUAUCAGGGUGCUGGAGAAUGGCCCAUUAUGGAGGGAAGAGUGCUUCUCAAUGAUCACCAGGGAGCGCAGCCGCGGCCAGAGCCGAGCGCAGAAUCAAUUUGGCGGGAAGGCCCGGCCAUCCAUCUCCGUUUGCCGGGUAAUUUAGGCCUCGGAGCCGACAGGACAGAUAGCAGCAGGCUACCUUGGCCUCAGGUCCACGGUUGGGCUGAAGAAUGUCGCAUCUGCUGUGGCCAUUAUCUCCAGGAGGCUGCGGUGGGGGUAGGGGUGGGCCCAUGGGGAAGAUCAUACUUCCACCCCAGGUGGGCCCAGACGAGGCGGCCUCCACACGGACCUUUGUUCAUGAGUUUGGUUUUACAUGGCCACCACAAGGACAGGGUGGAGUGGCCCAGGGAAUGGACACUGCCCACUGCCCACAUCACCCUGUCCACCCGCCUGCUGCUGUGCCCAGCCCCAACCUUCCACACUGUCAGCCCCACCCCCAAUGGCUCUCUCUACCAUGAUUGUCCCCCAAGUAUGACUCAGGAUCCAAAACAGGUGCCACCCUCUGAGUCCAGCUUAGACCUGAGUCAAGCAGGGGUGACUCUGGGCCUGUUCAGCUGCUAAGCACAGCCCUGAGGACAGGAAGAGCUGUGGACAGGGUCCCAGGGACCCAGCUCAAGUCGAGGCCUCGUGGUGACAGGCACAUGGCCCCUCCAGUCCCCACCUACUGCCAGUUGGUCUGCAGCUGCUCCUUGGCCACUCCUGCCUGACCCCAGCCCACCCUGCCCUGCCCGCACAGGCUGGCCCACCUCGCCGCGAGUCCGUGGUGAGAGCUGCAACCUGGGUCCCCUCGCGCCCAGGGAGUGGUGCCUGGAACCCGGGCCACCAGAGGGAAG